AUUGAACGCUGGCGGCAGGCUUAACACAUGCAAGUCGAGCGGGGGAGGUUGCUUCGGUAACUGACCUAGCGGCGGACGGGUGAGUAAUGCUUAGGAAUCUGCCUAUUAGUGGGGAACAACAUUCCGAAAGGGAUGCUAAUACCGCACACGCCCUACGGGGGAAAGCAGGGGAUCUUCGGACCUUGCGCUAAUAGAUGAGCCUAAGUCGGAUUAGCUAGUUGGUGGGGUAAAGGCCUACCAAGGCGACGAUCUGUAGCGGGUCUGAGAGGAUGAUCCGCCACACUGGGACUGGGACACGGCCCAGACUCCUACGGGAGGCAGCAGUGGGGAAUAUUGGACAAUGGGCGAAAGCCUGAUCCAGCCAUGCCGCGUGUGUGAAGAAGGUCUUCGGAUUGUAAAGCACUUUAAGUUGGGAGGAAGGGCAGUAAGUUAAUACCUUGCUGUUUUGACGUUACCGACAGAAUAAGCACCGGCUAACUCUGUGCCAGCAGCCGCGGUAAUAC
rnacentral:rRNA from 1 species